AUUGAACGCUGGCGGCAGGCCUAACACAUGCAAGUCGAGCGAGCGGCGGACGGGUGUGUAAUGUUUGGGGUCUGCCCGUUAGAGGGGGAUAACUACUGGAAACGGUGUCUAAUACCCCAUACUGUCGGAUAACCCAUAUGGGAUUAGCUAGUAGGUAAGGUAAUGGCUUACCUAGGCGACGAUCCCUUGCUGGUCUGUGAGGGUGAGCAGCCACACUGGGACGGAGACACGGCCCAGCCUGCUACGGAGGUAGUAGUGGGGAAUAUUGCACAAUGGGUGCAAGCACGAUGCAGCCAUGGCGCGUGUAUGAAGAAGGCCGUGGGGUUGUAAAGUAUUAUCAGUCGGGAGGCGUUACCGACAGAAGAAGGACCGGCGAACUCCGUGCCUGCAGCCGCGGUAAUAC
rnacentral:rRNA from 1 species